GACGAACGCUGGCGGCGUGCUUAACACAUGCAAGUCGAACGGAAAGGCCCUGCUUUUGUGGGGUGCUCGUGUGGCGAACGGGUGAGUAACACGCGAGUAACCUGCCCUUGACUUUGGGAUAACUUAAGGAAACUGGGGCUAAUACCGGAUAGGAGCUCCUGCUGCACGGUGGGGGGUGGAAAGUUUCGGCGGUUGGGGAUGGACUCGCGGCUUAUCAGCUUGUUGGUGGGGUAGUGGCUUACCAAGGCUGUGACGGGUAGCCGGCCUGAGAGGGUGACCGGCCACAUUGGGACUGAGAUACGGCCCAGACGCCUACGGGAGGCAGCAGUGGGGAAUAUUGCACAAUGGGCGGAAGCCUGAUGCAGCAACGCCGCGUGCGAGAUGACGGCCUUCGGGUUGUAAACCGCUUUCGCCUGUGACGAAGCGUGAGUGACGGUAAUGGGUAAAGAAGCAACGGCUAACUACGUG
rnacentral:rRNA from 1 species